rnacentral:rRNA from 1 species
CACGUAGGGCGCAAGCGUUGUCCGGAAUUAUUGGGCGUAAAGAGCUCGUAGGCGGUCUGUUGCGUCCGCUGUGAAAUCUCGGGGCUUAACCCCGAGCCUGCAGUGGAUACGGGCAGACUAGAGGUAGGUAGGGGAGAAUGGAAUUCCCGGUGUAGCGGUGAAAUGCGCAGAUAUCAGGAGGAACACCGGUGGCGAAGGCGGUUCUCUGGGCCUGUACUGACGCUGAGGAACGAAAGCGUGGGGAGCGAACAGG